GAUGAACGCUGACAGAAUGCUUAACACAUGCAAGUCUUUGGCGAAGCUGUGCUUGCACAGCCUAGCCAAGGCGGACGGGUGAGUAACGCGUAAGGAACUUGCCCUGCAGUCAGGGAUAACAGACGGAAACGACUGAUAAGACCUGGUAAAGUCAGGCGGACUCAUGUCCAGCCUGAUGAAAAGAGAUGCUGCAGGAGAGCCUUGCGUCCUAUUAGCUUGUUGGUGGGGUAACGGCCCACCAAGGCGAUGAUAGGUAGCCGGCCUGAGAGGGUGGACGGCCACAAGGGGACUGAGAUACGGCCCUUACUCCUACGGGAGGCAGCAGUGGGGAAUAUUGGACAAUGGGGGCAACCCUGAUCCAGCAAUUCUGUGUGCACGAUGAAGGUUUUCGGAUUGUAAAGUGCUUUCAGCAGGGAAGAAAAAAAUGACGGUACCUGCAGAAGAAGCGACGGCUAAAUACGUA
rnacentral:rRNA from 1 species